GAUGAACGCUAGCGGCGGGCUUAAUACAUGCAAGUCGAGGGGCAGCAUGAUUGUAGCAAUACAAUUGAUGGCGACCGGCAAACGGGUGCGGAACACGUACACAACCUCCCAAUAAGUGGGGAAUAGCCCAGAGAAAUUUGGAUUAAUACCCCGUAACAUAACGAUGUGGCAUCACAUUGUUAUUAUAAAUUUUUCGCUUAUUGAUGGGUGUGCGGCUGAUUAGAUAGUUGGCGGGGUAACGGCCCACCAAGUCUACGAUCAGUAGCUGAUGUGAGAGCAUGAUCAGCCACACGGGCACUGAGAAACGGGCCCGACUCCUACGGGAGGCAGCAGUAAGGAAUAUUGGACAAUGGACGCAAGUCUGAUCCAGCCAUACCGCGUGAAGGAUUAAGGUCCUCUGGAUUGUAAACUUCUUUUAUAAGGGACGAAAAAAGGCUUUUCUAAGUCGUCUGACGGUACCUUAUGAAUAAGCACCGGCUAACUCCGUGCCAGCCGCCGCGGUAAAAC
rnacentral:rRNA from 1 species